rnacentral:rRNA from 1 species
CAAAGAAGCUUGCUUCUCUUGAGAGCGGCGGACGGGUGAGUAAAGCCUAGGAAUCUGCCUGGUAGUGGGGGAUAACGUUCGGAAACGGACGCUAAUACCGCAUACGUCCUACGGGAGAAAGCAGGGGACCUUCGGGCCUUGCGCUAUCAGAUGAGCCUAGGUCGGAUUAGCUAGUUGGUGAGGUAAUGGCUCACCAAGGCGACGAUCCGUAACUGGUCUGAGAGGAUGAUCAGUCACACUGGAACUGAGACACGGUCCAGACUCCUACGGGAGGCAGCAGUGGGGAAUAUUGGACAAUGGGCGAAAGCCUGAUCCAGCCAUGCCGCGUGUGUGAAGAAGGUCUUCGGAUUGUAAAGCACUUUAAGUUGGGAGGAAGGGCAUUAACCUAAUACGUUAGUGUUUUGACGUUACCGACAGAAUAAGCACCGGCUAACUCUGUGCCAGCAGCCGCG